rnacentral:lncRNA from 1 species
AAAACUCAAAUUGGUCGAAGGAGUACUUUAACCAAAUUAAUAUCAUUCAUUCAUUUUGGGAGAUGGAAUGUACAUUCCAUCAACCCCCUAAAUCCAAUGAUAUUAACUUAACAAAGUCAAAUCAACCUUGACCAAGGCCCAACAACAUGACUCAAACUUACACAAAUCAUCACAAUAGGUCAACACAAUUAUUUGGCAUUUAUUUAAAUUAAAAAUACUAAAAUA